AAGCUUCACUGUUUGAAUUACUUUUUCUGCAAAUAAUUUUGCAGUAUGAAAGUUCAUGUUGAUUCCCAUCAUUUCUCCAUGGCUUGCACAGUCUUUUGAGUGGUUUGUAGCCAUAUUUUAUUAAUUGUUGAGCAGAGUGUUAACACUUUUUUUAAUGAUGAAACUGAUGCAUGAAUCAGGUUUUGAGGAAGAUCAGCAUUAUCAUUUUAUGAGAUGAUUGUCCUUGACAUUUGUUAUUGUGCUUGAAUAUUUUUGUUCCACUUUGUUUCCAGUUCUUCUAGAACCAAUAUUUGAUCCCUGCUAAUAAUCUGGUCUAGAUAACUGCAUUUUAUAAAAGCUGUACUGGCAUCAAAGAAAGAAGGAAAGGUAAUUGGUCAUAAAUGUGUAAAUUUAUUAAUACGGAAAUAAUGAAACGCUCGGAAUCACAAUGUCAGUGUUGUGUAGGAUUGAAGUUGGAAGUGAGUAAGAUCACAAUGGAAUUGGAAUCUGCCCUAAAAAUUAUAGAAAUUUUGAAAGAAGAGCUGGGCAGUGCGGCCGCAUUGUCUAGUGCUAAUAAAAGUGUCAUACGAAAUAAUGAAAAUGGAUCUCAAAUAUCUCCAAGUGAAAAAGAAACUGGAUCCAUAUACAAAGAAAUCAACAAAAGAAGAUAACAGAUAAGUUAAAAGACCAUGAGGAAACAUAUGUAACAACAAGUAAUCAUUUUGAAAUUUUAUCUAACCUCAAUGAGAUUAUUAAGUCUACUGAAGCAGCAAAAGAAGAAAUUCUCAAACCAAGUAAAACUGUACAAAAUAAUAUCGACAAAAGUAAUUUUCAAGCAAGAGACAGUAAAUACAAGGCUGAUGCAGAAGGACAGAUGAUUAAUAACAUUUCAGUGAUAAUAAAUGGUCUAGUAACAUCUAAUAACAGUAAAGUUCUGAACAGUGACAUCUUACAUUCAUAUGAGAGUGCUGAAACCGUUGAGGCUAAUGCAAGGAAUGAGAAAGAGGCUCCCAAGGAGAAAGUUGCUGAUUCAGCAGCAAGUGCUUCAAAGAACAAAGGAAACCACACUAUAUUAAUUAUUGGAGACAGCCAUGUAAGGAGAUGUGCAAGUAAACUGAGAGAAAAUCUUGAUAAAACUUAUAAGGUAUACCACAUAGACACAACCUGGCAGAUUGGUCUUGCAUAAAUAAUGAGAUAAAUGCCUUUGAUAGGAAACUGUUUAAAAUCAUGAAAUGUCACAGUAAUGAACUGUGACUUAGACACUUCUUUAUAAGACCAGGUAUGCAUCUGAAGAGGAGAAGAAAAGAAGAUAUGCUUAAACAUAUAGCAGCAACCUGUGUGACAAUUUCUCAAUCUAAUAAAAAUUUGACCCCAAUUUGCUUGCUCUGGAAGGAAUCUGAAAAUUAUAAUGCAAAUUUACAAGCUAACAAGUUUCCAGCUAUGAAUGAGUCAGUAAAAACGACAGAGCAAAAAAAUGAACCAGUACGGAAAUCAAAUGGACUAAAAAAACUACCAGGCCUGUGACUCACCAGCACGAGACCUCAAGUGACUCGUCUGCCAUAAGAGCAAGUAGCUGUUGCUUUGCAGUCAUAGCAAGCAAGUUUCAGCAUUUCUCUGACAUCCAUUUUGCUGCUCUAUCAUCCAUGCUUGGCUCUUUCAAAUAGCCUUUUCUGUUGAGGCUGUGCCACAAAAAUCUGGUCAUGUCAAGACUG